rnacentral:rRNA from 1 species
GACGAACGCUGGCGGCGUGCUUAACACAUGCAAGUCGAACGGACAGGCCCUGCUUUUGUGGGGUGCUCGAGUGGCGAACGGGUGAGUAACACGUGAGUAACCUGCCCUUGACUUUGGGAUAACUUCAGGAAACUGCGGCUAAUACCGGAUAGGAGCUCCUGCUGCAUGGUGGGGGUUGGAAAGUUUCGGCGGUUGGGGCUGGACUCGCGGCUUAUCAGCUUGUUGGUGGGGUAGUGGCUUACCAAGGCUUUGACGGGUAGCCGGCCUGAGAGGGUUACCGGCCACAUGGGGACUGAGAGACGGCCCAGUCUCGUACGGGAGGCAGCAGUGGGGAAUAUGGCACAAUGGGCGGAAGCCUGAUGCAGCAACGCCGCGUGCGGGAUGACGGCCUUCGGGUUGUAAACAGAUGUCGCCGGUGACGAAGCGUGAGUGACGGUAAUGGGUAAAGAAGCACCGGCUAACUACGUG